GUGCUUGCUUCGGUAGCACAUACAAUAAAGUUGGGUGGAUACAGAGAAGAUAAUUACGUGUCCAGCACAAGCAUAACAUGAAAAUUCAUGAAACAUUUCAUAUNNNN
ensembl:snRNA U6 U6 spliceosomal RNA